rnacentral:rRNA from 1 species
UACGUAGGGCGCAAGCGUUGUCCGGAAUUAUUGGGCGUAAAGAGCUCGUAGGCGGCCUGUUGCGUCCGCUGUGAAAUCCCGGGGCUCAACCCCGGGCCUGCAGUGGAUACGGGCUGGCUAGAGGCAGGCAGGGGAGAACGGAAUUCCUGGUGUAGCGGUGAAAUGCGCAGAUAUCAGGAGGAACACCGGUGGCGAAGGCGGUUCUCUGGGUCUUACCUGACGCUGAGGAGCGAAAGCGUGGGGAGCGAACAGG